UGCUCCAUCUAAUGAAUAAAAUGUUCAACUAUCGACGUCAAGUAGUGAUGAUGGUGAUAAUCCUGGUCGCAAUAAUGAAGGUGCAUACGAAACAACACAUGGCCACAUUUAUUCUAGUAAUCUUCAUGGAGACCAAGGUGUGACUAGAUAUCCUUAUGCUGCUAAUCCAGGUUUGUAUGAAACAAAUGCAUCAAUUAGUUUGCAAAAUAGAAGAGAUGGGGGUGAUAAAACUCAUGGGAGGAUGAG
rnacentral:lncRNA from 1 species